rnacentral:rRNA from 1 species
AUUGAACGCUGGCGGCAUGCCUUACACAUGCAAGUCGAACGGUAACGCGGGGCAACCUGGCGACGAGUGGCGAACGGGUGAGUAAUGUAUCGGAACGUGCCCAGUAGUGGGGGAUAGCCCGGCGAAAGCCGGAUUAAUACCGCAUACGACCUAAGGGUGAAAGCGGGGGAUCGCAAGACCUCGCGCUAUUGGAGCGGCCGAUAUCAGCUUAGGUAGUUGGUGGGGUAAAGGCCUACCAAGCCGACGAUCUGUAGCUGGUCUGAGAGGACGACCAGCCACACUGGGACUGAGACACGGCCCAGACCCCUACGGGAGGCAGCGGUGGGGAAUUUUGGACAAUGGGCGCAAGCCUGAUCCAGCCAUGCCGCGUGCGGGAAGAAGGCCUUCGGGUUGUAAACCGCUUUUGUGAGGGAAGAAAAGGUCUGAACUAAUACUUUGGGCUCAUGACGGUACCUGAAGAAUAAGCACCGGCUAACUACGUGCCAGCCGCCGCCGUAAAAC